CUAAAAGGAUCAUGGGCGAGCUGACGGAGCACGCCGCGUGAGUGAUGAAGGUCUUCGGAUCGUAAAACUCUGUUAUUAGGGAAGAACAAAUGUGUAAGUAACUAUGCACGUCUUGACGGUACCUAAUCAGAAAGCCACGGCUAACUACGUGCCAGCAGCCGCGGUAAUACGUAGGUGGCAAGCGUUAUCCGGAAUUAUUGGGCGUAAAGCGCGCGUAGGCGGUUUUUUAAGUCUGAUGUGAAAGCCCACGGCUCAACCGUGGAGGGUCAUUGGAAACUGGAAAACUUGAGUGCAGAAGAGGAAAGUGGAAUUCCAUGUGUAGCGGUGAAAUGCGCAGAGAUAUGGAGGAACACCAGUGGCGAAGGCGACUUUCUGGUCUGUAACUGACGCUGAUGUGCGAAAGCGUGGGGAUCAAACAGGAUUAGAUACCCC
rnacentral:rRNA from 1 species